rnacentral:lncRNA from 1 species
UUUCAUUUAUAAUGUAUUAUUUCUUUCUUUCACAUUUUGAGAAAGUAUUAAGUGCGAGAUAAAAAAAAUGGUUUGUUUCGAUUUUCAUUCUUGUAGUUGAAGUGCAUCUGCAAGGUAAAUAGUUUAAGUUAUGUUUACAUUUUCUUGAAUAAUAGUUGGUGCUAAAAAUCAGAAUGUUCUUCAACUAAUUGUGAUGGUUGUCUGAAAUAAAAUGACCUUCCUAUGUCAAUGGCUUGCCGGGUUGCCUUUUUUGUCAAUUGUUAUCAUGCGAUUGAUUUUAUUUGUGAGCAUGAGCAGCCCGUAAAUUGGAAAGACUGCUGAGCUGUUGGGACUAAAAGCUUGAAAAGUUUUGCGCUUUCUCAUCUUUCUCUGAACUCCUGAAUUGUGUGCUGUCAUAUGUUUUUACAGAACAGAAAUAUUGUUGUGUUACUUAGCUUGCUGACUUGAAUGUUUUUUGUUUGUGAAAAUGAUAUUCUGCAUUGUGUUCAUGAAACUGCUGCUUGUUUUUAGGUACCAACACAUGGGACAGAUUUGAACUUAGGGUGCACAAGAGAGUGAUUGACCUCUACAGUUCCCCAGAUGUGGUUAAGCAGAUUACCUCUAUCACGAUCGAACCUGGUGUGGAGGUUGAGGUGACCAUUGCAGAUGCUUGAUCUUGAUCCAAAUUUUAACUGUUAUGUUUCUUAGUUUUUUUUUCCUCCGCUUAUUCUGUAUUUUACAAGUUUUGAUUGUGGGACCGAGUUGAAUUGUUUUCUUUAGUUUUAUGGUUGUAGACGGUUGAUUUAUACCUGAGAAAUGUUAUCUUAAUAUAUUCAAGAAUCUUACAUAUAUUUGUUUUGAAAUUAUUACAAAUCAUUUGGUAUGGACUCAGCUAAGAUUAUAUCUUUUUCCUUUUAUCAUGGUCCGCAAAUUUUUAAACCUGAUACUAAUGGUGAACCAGGCACGUUGGAAAAGUAUUAUUUUUUUUGCAAUUUUCAAUGCACAACUCCUAAUUCUAAUGUAUAAAAUAAUGAGGGAGGAAACUGUGGCUUUUGGGAUAAAAGUACUUUUGAAUUUUCGUAACUGAAAUUUAAACAUGCUCAUAUUCUUCCAAUUAUAAUGUAAAUAAAUAAAAACAAGAUGCAAAAAUGUGUUACGUUCGAUUUAUGGCUUCUUUGUCUUGGGUGAAUUUCAUUGAGAAAAAGCUUGGCACGAGCCAAUUUUUUUCGAAAGGAGGAAUUUAUCCUUGUCCAAUCCUAGUUUGGAAGCUGCCACCAAUAUUAAAGUAUUUAGUACAUUUCCGGUUUUUGGUGAUAUGAUCCAUUUUUGGAGUGAUUAAUUUUCCGGAUUAUAGAAGUAAAAAAGAAAGUGGGGUGGAAGGGGAGAAUGCAGUGCAUAACUUCACAAAAGUAUAUUAGAGAAAAUAGAGGCUUAUAAUGUAAAAUAGUUGUUUACUAUUUAAUGAGUUGUUUUAGAUGAAUGAACAAUCUUGGGGCAAGAAUUUUAGUUUUAUUGAUGUUGUCAUCCAAAAGGUAAUUUGAGGUUUUCCUAUCGCAAUCACAACAAAAAUGAGUUGUUUACUAUUUGAGGUUUUCCUAUUCGAAAUGUUUUUGUGUUGUUCAAUUCAAAUUAUACAAACAGAAAAGCGAGUAAAAAAAAACUUCUGUAGCACUUCUAAACAUAGAGAAACAAUACAUAAACAGUGAAGAAAAUUUGUAAAGAAGGAAAAUUAUUUAUGAUUGGUUGAGCGUACAAUUUUGUUUACAUUUAUAUCGUACUCCCUCAAUUAUUUUGUGUUCGGUUGAAAGAACAAAAAUAAAAAUAAAAAAGUUGAAUUAGAGCAUAAGUGUGAGCCUUACAAUUUUUUCUCUAUUUUUUCUCUUCUUCUCUCAACCAAACACAAUGAGCAUUAUCUAGCAAACGAGUUCAUCUCCUCAACAGUAAAAUUGAGUUGUUUUUUGGUAUAAUAAAUUAUUUAUUAAUUUAUAAAAGCAAAUAAUAUAUCAUAUUAUAUCAAGUUUGAUCUUAAUUUAAAUUUUAUUUUAUCGUAUUAUAUAUAUUUAGUCAUAUUUGAUAAAAGCAAGUAGGAACAUUAUUCAUUUAUUUAUUGAAGUCAGUUCGGUUCGGUCUAAGGUUAAUUUUCACUAGUUCAAAUAAUAUAUCAUAUUAUAUCAAGUUUGAUCUUAAUUUAAAUUUUAUUUUACCGUAUUAUAUAUAUUUAGUCAUAUUUGAUACAAGAAAGUAGGGACAUUAUUCAUUUAUUUAUUGAACUCAGUUCGGUUCGGUCUAAGAUUAAUUUUCAGUAGUUCAAAUUUUAGAAAUUAGACUUGACCUAUUUUGAGGAUGAGUUUAGAUAUGCUCUAUUAUUGCAAAAAGUUUUUUUUUUUCAAUGAAUAUGUAAUAUUAAUAAUAUUUUUAUAAUAUGAUAUUAUAUUUAUAAUAAUAUUAUUUAUUUUAAAAUAUAUACUAUAAAAUACUAUAUCUUAGUUUAAUUUUUAUACCUUUUCUGUUUUACAAUUUAACUAUACCUAACUUUUUUUUGGUAAAUAACUAUAUUCAAUGUUAAGAUUAAUAAAAUAUAAAUUAUAAAUAAGUUGAAUUGUUUAUCAACAAUUCGUUGGUAUAAAUAAAAUUAAGUUCAAUCUUUUUAAGUAAAAUUUUAUGUUCAAGUUUAAUAGAUAAAAAAAACUUAAAAGUGACCAACAAGAUUUUAACGAAAAACAAUUUGGUUUGGAAUAAAUAAAGUGUUCCAAUGACUCGAUGUUAACCCUAAUUUGUACGGUCCAAUAAAAUUUGCAUCGGUGGUAACUGGGGCAAGUAAGGAAAUAGUAUAAUUCAUAGUGGGUGAUUUGCAAAACUUCAUUGUUUUGCCCUAAAAACCCUCUAGGUUUUCUAUUCCAUUGUACGCCAAAGCCCUCUCUUAUUUCCAGACGCGGCGGCUUCUUCUUCCGUUUUUGUCUAUCGGCGUGAACAAUGGCGACUUACGCUGCGAUGAAGCCCACAAAGCCCGGCUUGGAGGAGCCCCAGGAGCAGAUCCACAAGAUAAGGAUCACCCUUUCCUCCAAGCACGUCAAAAACCUCGAGAAGGGUAUGCCCCAAUUGAUUCUAGUUUUUGUUUUUAAGGUUGUCGCUCUCCUUAGGCUUAUGUUUCGGUUUUUAUGUUACUUUUAGUUUGUGCGGACUUGGUUCGCGGUGCAAAGGACAAGCGCCUCAGGGUUAAGGGACCUGUCAGGAUGCCCACUAAGGUUCUUCUCAUCACUACCAGGAAGUCCCCUUGUGGUGAAGGUAUUUACAUUCUUUCCUCACUUUUUAUUAUUAUGGUUGCUGUUUGGUUCACUUGUUCCUUUUAUUCUUUGCUUCUUAUAUUGCUCUUUUGAUUGAUGUUCGUUUUGCAAUUGGGUUUGCCUCAAUGUUCUUCUAUCUUGCUAUGUUAUGUGUUGUAGUUUUGAACAUGGAUGCCCUUUGUAUAAAGAGUAGUUUUGCAAUAUAUCUCUUACUUUUUAAGGUCUGGAAUGUGCUAAAUGGAAAAUUUGGAUGGAGGAUUUUGAAGGAAAAAGGAAGAUUAAGUUAGUUAUAUCAUGUUUAUAAAUACGAAUAAGGGAUGAACGGGAGGUUUUGUUUUGUCGGUAAUCUAUUUCUUUGGAGGCUUGGGACUCUGACUGCGUGUCUGUUGAAGAGGGGAAGAAUGAGACUGCAACUCAUAGGCUGUGGCUUGGUUAAGGGAAACCACCGGAGCUGUAGUGAAAGUGAGUCUUCACAGGGCAAUUGUUUAUGGACCCGAACCUCGGUGAUCUAUCAUUCUGAAAAAGUACCAAUUGUGGGAUAAAAAAAUGUUUUGUUUCAACUUUCAUUCUUUUAGUGGCAGUGCUGGGCAAAUUGUUUAAGUUUUAUCUAUAAUUUUCUUAAUUCAUGUUUAUUGAAUGAUAUUUGGUACUUUUAAGUCCGAAUGUUCUUCAACAAAUUGUGAUGUAAAUAACUUACCUAUGCACGUGGUUUGCUGGAUUGGCUCCUCUGUCAUUUGUUAUUAUGUGAUUGAUUUUAUGUGACUUGUGAGCAUGAUCAUUCUUGCAGCCUGAAACAUCGAAAGCUGCUGUUGUGGCUAAAAGCUUGAAAAAUGUUGUGCUUUCUUGUCUUACCCAAGUAUCUUAAUUGUGUAUGUGUGUGCUGUUCAUAUGUUUUCUACGGAACACCGAUAGUUGUGUUACUUAGCUUGUUGAUUUGAUUUUUGAAGUAUUUUGGUCAAUGAAUGAUAUUAAAGCCUGUGUUCAUGAAACUGCUUGUUUUUCAGGUACCAACACAUGGGACAGAUUUGAACUUCGUGUGCACAAGAGAGUGAUUGACCUCUACAGUUCCCCAGAUGUAGUUAAGCAGAUUACCUCUAUCACGAUUGAACCUGGUGUGGAGGUUGAGGUUACCAUUGCAGAUGCUUGAUCUGGAUUCAAAUUUUAACUGUUAUGCUUCCCAGUUUUUUCCCUCUCUUUUUUUGUAUUU